rnacentral:rRNA from 1 species
AUUGAACGCUGGCGGCAUGCUUUACACAUGCAAGUCGAACGGUAACAGGCCGCAAGGUGCUGACGAGUGGCGAACGGGUGAGUAAUGCAUCGGAACGUGCCCAGUCGUGGGGGAUAACUACUCGCAAGAGUAGCUAAUACCGCAUACGAUCUAUGGAUGAAAGCGGGGGACCGUAAGGCUUCGCGCGAUUGGAGCGGCCGAUGUCAGAUUAGGUAGUUGGUGGGGUAAAGGCUCACCAAGCCAACGAUCUGUAGCUGGUCUGAGAGGACAACCAGCCACACUGGGACUGAGACACGGCCCAGACUCCUACGGGAGGCAGCAGUGGGGAAUUUUGGACAAUGGGCGCAAGCCUGAUCCAGCAAUGCCGCGUGCAGGAAGAAGGCCUUCGGGUUGUAAACUGCUUUUGUACGGAACGAAACGGCUCUGGUUAAUACCCGGGGCUAAUGACGGUACCGUAAGAAUAAGCACCGGCUAACUACGUG